rnacentral:rRNA from 1 species
GGUUAAGCGACUAAGCGUACACGGUGGAUGCCCUGGCAGUCAGAGGCGAUGAAGGACGUGCUAAUCUGCGAUAAGCGUCGGUAAGGUGAUAUGAACCGUUAUAACCGGCGAUUUCCGAAUGGGGAAACCCAGUGUGUUUCGACACACUAUCAUUAACUGAAUCCAUAGGUUAAUGAGGCGAACCGGGGAACUGAAACAUCUAAGUACCCCGAGGAAAAGAAAUCAACCGAGAUUCCCCCAGUAGCGGCGAGCGAACGGGGAGGAGCCCAGAGCCUGAAUCAGUGUGUGUGUUAGUGGAAGCGUCUGGAAAGGCGCGCGAUACAGGGUGACAGCCCCGUACACAAAAAUGCACAUACUGUGAGCUCGAUGAGUAGGGCGGGACACGUGGUAUCCUGUCUGAAUAUGGGGGACCAUCCUCCAAGGCUAAAUACUCCUGACUGACCGAUAGUGAACCAGUACCGUGAGGGAAAGGCGAAAAGAACCCCGGCGAGGGGAGUGAAAAAGAACCUGAAACCGUGUACGUACAAGCAGUGGGAGCCUCUUUAUGGGGUGACUGCGUACCUUUUGUAUAAUGGGUCAGCGACUUAUAUUCUGUAGCAAGGUUAACCGAAUAGGGGAGCCGAAGGGAAACCGAGUCUUAACUGGGCGUUAAGUUGCAGGGUAUAGACCCGAAACCCGGUGAUCUAGCCAUGGGCAGGUUGAAGGUUGGGUAACACUAACUGGAGGACCGAACCGACUAAUGUUGAAAAAUUAGCGGAUGACUUGUGGCUGGGGGUGAAAGGCCAAUCAAACCGGGAGAUAGCUGGUUCUCCCCGAAAGCUAUUUAGGUAGCGCCUCGUGAAUUCAUCUCCGGGGGUAGAGCACUGUUUCGGCAAGGGGGUCAUCCCGACUUACCAACCCGAUGCAAACUGCGAAUACCGGAGAAUGUUAUCACGGGAGACACACGGCGGGUGCUAACGUCCGUCGUGAAGAGGGAAACAACCCAGACCGCCAGCUAAGGUCCCAAAGUCAUGGUUAAGUGGGAAACGAUGUGGGAAGGCCCAGACAGCCAGGAUGUUGGCUUAGAAGCAGCCAUCAUUUAAAGAAAGCGUAAUAGCUCACUGGUCGAGUCGGCCUGCGCGGAAGAUGUAACGGGGCUAAACCAUGCACCGAAGCUGCGGCAGCGACGCUUAUGCGUUGUUGGGUAGGGGAGCGUUCUGUAAGCCUGCGAAGGUGUGCUGUGAGGCAUGCUGGAGGUAUCAGAAGUGCGAAUGCUGACAUAAGUAACGAUAAAGCGGGUGAAAAGCCCGCUCGCCGGAAGACCAAGGGUUCCUGUCCAACGUUAAUCGGGGCAGGGUGAGUCGACCCCUAAGGCGAGGCCGAAAGGCGUAGUCGAUGGGAAACAGGUUAAUAUUCCUGUACUUGGUGUUACUGCGAAGGGGGACGGAGAAGGCUAUGUUGGUAGGGCGACGGUUGUCCCGGUUUAAGCGUGUAGGCUGGUUUUCCAGGCAAAUCCGGAAAAUCAAGGCUGAGGCGUGAUGACGAGGCACUACGGUGCUGAAGCAACAAAUGCCCUGCUUCCAGGAAAAGCCUCUAAGCAUCAGGUAACAUCAAAUCGUACCCCAAACCGACACAGGUGGUCAGGUAGAGAAUACCAAGGCGCUUGAGAGAACUCGGGUGAAGGAACUAGGCAAAAUGGUGCCGUAACUUCGGGAGAAGGCACGCUGAUAUGUAGGUGAAGCGACUUGCUCGUGGAGCUGAAAUCAGUCGAAGAUACCAGCUGGCUGCAACUGUUUAUUAAAAACACAGCACUGUGCAAACACGAAAGUGGACGUAUACGGUGUGACGCCUGCCCGGUGCCGGAAGGUUAAUUGAUGGGGUUAGCGGUAACGCGAAGCUCUUGAUCGAAGCCCCGGUAAACGGCGGUACCGUAACUAUAACGGUCCUAAGGUAGCGAAAUUCCUUGUCGGGUAAGUUCCGACCUGCACGAAUGGCGUAAUGAUGGCCAGGCUGUCUCCACCCGAGACUCAGUGAAAUUGAACUCGCUGUGAAGAUGCAGUGUACCCGCGGCAAGACGGAAAGACCCCGUGAACCUUUACUAUAGCUUGACACUGAACAUUGAGCCUUGAUGUGUAGGAUAGGUGGGAGGCUUUGAAGUGUGGACGCCAGUCUGCAUGGAGCCGACCUUGAAAUACCACCCUUUAAUGUUUGAUGUUCUAACGUUGGCCCGUAAUCCGGGUUGCGGACAGUGUCUGGUGGGUAGUUUGACUGGGGCGGUCUCCUCCUAAAGAGUAACGGAGGAGCACGAAGGUUGGCUAAUCCUGGUCGGACAUCAGGAGGUUAGUGCAAUGGCAUAAGCCAGCUUGACUGCGAGCGUGACGGCGCGAGCAGGUGCGAAAGCAGGUCAUAGUGAUCCGGUGGUUCUGAAUGGAAGGGCCAUCGCUCAACGGAUAAAAGGUACUCCGGGGAUAACAGGCUGAUACCGCCCAAGAGUUCAUAUCGACGGCGGUGUUUGGCACCUCGAUGUCGGCUCAUCACAUCCUGGGGCUGAAGUAGGUCCCAAGGGUAUGGCUGUUCGCCAUUUAAAGUGGUACGCGAGCUGGGUUUAGAACGUCGUGAGACAGUUCGGUCCCUAUCUGCCGUGGGCGCUGGAGAACUGAGGGGGCUGCUCCUAGUACGAGAGGACCGGAGUGGACGCAUCACUGGUGUUCGGGUUGUCAUGCCAAUGGCACUGCCCGGUAGCUAAAUGCGGAAGAGAUAAGUGCUGAAAGCAUCUAAGCACGAAACUUGCCCCGAGAUGAGUUCUCCCUGAGACUUUAAGUCUCCUGAAGGAACGUUGAAGACGACGACGUUGAUAGGCCGGGUGUGUAAGCGCAGCGAUGCGUUGAGCUAACCGGUACUAAUGAACCGUGAGGCUUAACCUU